CAACUUUCUCGAUCUGUUAUUUCAAUCGCCUGUUUUGUUUCAUUAGGGUUUUUCAUUUUAGGAUUUUUUUCAUCUCAUAAAUCUAUUACGAUUUCUUUUUCUGAUUUCGUUUUAGGGUUUUUUUUCAUCUGAUAAAUCUAAUACGACUUCUUUUUUCUGAUUUCAUAUUAAGGUUUUGAUAUUUUUUGGGGGAUUUUGUUGUUGCAGGAUAAGUUGAGUUCAUUGUCAUUAGGAGGAAAACCUAAGUUUCAUGAAUCCCUUUCAAUUAAUGGUAGGAAACGUGAUGAAGUUCUGCAAGAGAUUCAGAUUUGAGGUUCCUAAGAACACAAAUCUGGGAAAGCAAGUUUAGCAAAGGACUAUCUCUUAGGGGGUUCACAGAUGAUUGAAGAGAGGCUUGAUCUUGAGCGCUUGUACUGCUAAACCUUCUCUAGGCGAUUGGGGAAGACAUCUGUAAGUAAGAGUACAAUUUUAAUAUUCAUGCGUGGAGAUUUAAUGCACCUCAGCAGUUUGAGGCGAGUUCAGACUUGCCGUGAAUGCUGCUUCUUUGCUGCUCAUGUUUGCUCCUGAUCCUAACUACUCAACAAAUAGAUGGUAUGACCUAAUUCAGAAAAAAGAGAAAGACGCAUAGGACUACGUAUGAAAAUGAAAGGUUGAUGAGAGAGUUAUAAACUCGAAGGAAAGAAAUCAAGCAGAAGGGUAAGGAAAUAGAUAAUGCGAUGGCUGAAAUGGGGAGGUUACUUAUCUAUGAAGCGUCAAGGACCUAGUACGUUGGGUUGUCUAUGAGGUUACUUAACAGGACAGAGCCUUUGUGACUACUAAACACUGAUGAUGAGAAAUACUCUUGGGAGUCACAACUCACAAGCUGGUGGAUCAUGCACUGUUACCAGAGUUGUAGAUGGUUAGCAGUUGAGUAGAGGAACCAGAAUCACUCUCUUCCUCAAAGAAGGUAAGGAUUUGUUGGAGGAGCAUACUCAGGAAGUGUACAAGGAGCUGAAAUCUUGGAGACCUUGAAGGAUUUAAGUAGUGGGGAGUGAUUCUGAGAUUGCUGAAGUCUGUUUUGAGGAAGAAGUGUGAUGAUGUGCACCAAUAACAAGGAUCUUUCGGUGAGAUUACGAAAGAUGGUUGGUGUGGAACGAGGUCGUUUAUAUGAAAACACAUGCAGGUCGAGUGAAUUCUGAAGAAAGCUAAGAGUUUUUUAGGUCAAGAGAUGAUGCAGCUUGGUCAAUCUCUCUACAACUAAAGUCUUCCUGGGAGUUGGCAGUUUAUUUGCUGGAUUGUUUGGCACCAUAACGGUUCAACUGUAUAUAUGCAAGUCAUUUACAAUCAAAUUUCCCCAUCCUUCAGAAGCAACAUUUUUUCUACCAUUUGUAGCUCUUGAUUCAGUAUUUCUAAGUAGAGCAAUUGCAAGUUUUCUGUGUAUUUUCUAAGUUAGGAGAACUUGUGAACUGAACUUGGUAAGUUUCAGUAUAUUCCCUUAGUAUUUGAUACUUAACAAAAAAAGAUUUGCUAGAACUUGUGAACUGAACUUAGUAAGUUUCUGUAUAUUCCCUUAGUAUUUGAUACUUAACAAAACAAAAAAUUGGUACUUA